rnacentral:lncRNA from 1 species
CUCUUCCUGCUCAGAGGACAAAGCGUGUGUGAGCUUCUGUUCCUCUAAUCAGCCCCAUUAAGCUUCUCUGCUUUUAUCCCAGAGAUUCAAAUCCUGGUAGUGUGUUCCCAUUCUUCCUUUCUCGGUAAGAAGCACAGGGAUGGACACAAAGGAAGCCAUUCCAUCAUUUUCCUUUCUCCAGCAUGUUUUCUGGCUGCCUGGAGCAAUUGUUCAGUGUGUGCUCCGUGUCAGUGUGAUCUGCACCGUCACCGUUGGAUCCCUGCCCGCAGGCUUCAGGAACGCAUCCAGUCUCUGUGUGACACCUGGGCCGGCUCUGGGAAUGCAGAACAGAUUUUGGUGAUGUAUUCAGCUUCUAAAAAUAACUCCAUCAGGCUGCAGCUUUAGAUUUCCAUGUUUUCCACAUUCAAGGAUUAUUCCACAAGGAAUAUUGGAAGACAUCUCUUUUGUACAUGUAUUUGUCCCCUAAGGCCACCAGGUUUUGCAUUUCCUCCAUAAUGGAGAAGCUGACAAUUUCUGAAGGAUCAAGCAAAGUGAUUCUGUCACAUCAUAAUUGUCAGUAUUUUUUUGUUUGUACUGAGAAUUACUGCUGGUUUUGCCCCUUUACUGGGCAAACCCCCUAUGACAGAGCCCUUUGCAAAGUGGAAAAAGGGACUCCAGAGCACUGA